rnacentral:other from 1 species
GGUCUCCUGGGAAGUUCGCGUUUUUAUCAAUAUUGCGAACCGAACAACUCAGAUAUCGGAAGUUGAGGCAUAUUUGGCGUCGAAUGCUUAUCUUUGAAUAAGAAUCCCGAGAAUAUGCAGACAGAGACUUCCACCUUGUGAAAUUUUUGGUUUCACAAAGAAUAAAUAACGGCUUCCUGGGGACAU